ACAACUGUGCAUAUACGUGGCAUAGUUUGAUCCACAAUAAUACAUAGUGAAGUGCUUCAUGAUUUGAUGGUAUCAGUAGAUUCCUAAACUGAAGAUUGUGUAGCAGUAUAUAUUCAUAGGCCAACAGGCCAGCGGAAUACAUAGUCAAGUAGGACGUCCAUGCCAUCGCCAUUCUCGACAACAGAGAGAGUAACUGCAGAAUGAGCAACACAAUAGAGGAGGAGCAGCUGCAAAUGGCUAACUGUGAUGAGGAGGGACCAGCGGAAAGUACCAUGUCAUCAUCAACAUCCACCACCGUAGCUGCUAUGAGGUCAGCACCGGCAUGGUCAGCUAUCAAACUCAACAAGGAAAUAUUCGGCGGUACGGAAGAGGAACGGCAAGCACCACAUCAACAUCGGCAUCACCAUAUAUAGAACCAUUGGUAGAAUAUUUUCCAUUCGGAUUAUCAGCAAAAUCAUGACGUAUGGUUUAGACCUUGACGGUUCCAUUCCCUUGCAUUUCAAUUGUCAAUCUUGUGUUGUCAACAAUAAUUUGAUUGUACUGAGAUGUCCAUGAUGAUGUCUCUCUUUGCAGGCAUUGAGUUGAUCUAGAUUACUGACAUUGAAAAUGAAAUGGUCAUCGCAUUAGAGAUUGUCACUUCGGGUGAGCUCAUUUCUUCGUUGGUUUCUCCGUACCAUUUAUACUCUGCUAAAAUGGUCUCGACGAUUAUCUCUUAGAGGUUAUGGAAAUCAUGCAGUCAACUCAAACACACUUUUCGGAGUUUUCUUAUGGAUAGACUUAUUAUAAGAGAGACACGCU